UUAAGUUAUUAAGGGCGCACGGUGGAUGCCUUGGCACUAGAAGCCGAUGAAGGACGUUACUAACGACGAUAUGCUUUGGGGAGCUGUAAGUAAGCUUUGAUCCAGAGAUUUCCGAAUGGGGAAACCCAGCAUGAGUUAUGUCAUGUUAUCGAUAUGUGAAUACAUAGCAUAUCAGAAGGCACACCCGGAGAACUGAAACAUCUUAGUACCCGGAGGAAGAGAAAGAAAAUUCGAUUCCCUUAGUAGCGGCGAGCGAAACGGGAAGAGCCCAAACCAACAAGCUUGCUUGUUGGGGUUGUAGGACACUCUAUACGGAGUUACAAAGGACGACAUUAGACGAAUCAUCUGGAAAGAUGAAUCAAAGAAGGUAAUAAUCCUGUAGUCGAAAAUGUUGUCUCUCUUGAGUGGAUCCUGAGUACGACGGAGCACGUGAAAUUCCGUUGGAAUCUGGGAGGACCAUCUCCUAAGGCUAAAUACUCUCUAGUGACCGAUAGUGAACCAGUACCGUGAGGGAAAGGUGAAAAGCACCCCGGAAGGGGAGUGAAAUAGAACCUGAAACCGUGUGCUUACAAGUAGUCAGAGCCCGUUAAUGGGUGAUGGCGUGCCUUUUGUAGAAUGAACCGGCGAGUUACGAUUUGAUGCAAGGUUAAGCAGUAAAUGUGGAGCCGUAGCGAAAGCGAGUCUGAAUAGGGCGUUUAGUAUUUGGUCGUAGACCCGAAACCAGGUGAUCUACCCUUGGUCAGGUUGAAGUUCAGGUAACACUGAAUGGAGGACCGAACCGACUUACGUUGAAAAGUGAGCGGAUGAACUGAGGGUAGCGGAGAAAUUCCAAUCGAACCUGGAGAUAGCUGGUUCUCUCCGAAAUAGCUUUAGGGCUAGCCUCAAGUGAUGAUUAUUGGAGGUAGAGCACUGUUUGGACGAGGGGCCCCUCUCGGGUUACCGAAUUCAGACAAACUCCGAAUGCCAAUUAAUUUAACUUGGGAGUCAGAACAUGGGUGAUAAGGUCCGUGUUCGAAAGGGAAACAGCCCAGACCACCAGCUAAGGUCCCAAAAUAUAUGUUAAGUGGAAAAGGAUGUGGCGUUGCCCAGACAACUAGGAUGUUGGCUUAGAAGCAGCCAUCAUUUAAAGAGUGCGUAAUAGCUCACUAGUCGAGUGACACUGCGCCGAAAAUGUACCGGGGCUAAACAUAUUACCGAAGCUGUGGAUUGUCCUUUGGACAAUGGUAGGAGAGCGUUCUAAGGGCGUUGAAGCAUGAUCGUAAGGACAUGUGGAGCGCUUAGAAGUGAGAAUGCCGGUGUGAGUAGCGAAAGACGGGUGAGAAUCCCGUCCGCCGAUUGACUAAGGUUUCCAGAGGAAGGCUCGUCCGCUCUGGGUUAGUCGGGUCCUAAGCUGAGGCCGACAGGCGUAGGCGAUGGAUAACAGGUUGAUAUUCCUGUACCACCUAUAAUCGUUUUAAUCGAUGGGGGGACGCAGUAGGAUAGGCGAAGCGUGCGAUUGGAUUGCACGUCUAAGCAGUAAGGCUGAGUAUUAGGCAAAUCCGGUACUCAUUAAGGCUGAGCUGUGAUGGGGAGAAGACAUUGUGUCUUCGAGUCGUUGAUUUCACACUGCCGAGAAAAGCCUCUAGAUAGAAAAUAGGUGCCCGUACCGCAAACCGACACAGGUAGUCAAGAUGAGAAUUCUAAGGUGAGCGAGCGAACUCUCGUUAAGGAACUCGGCAAAAUGACCCCGUAACUUCGGGAGAAGGGGUGCUCUUUAGGGUUAACGCCCAGAAGAGCCGCAGUGAAUAGGCCCAAGCGACUGUUUAUCAAAAACACAGGUCUCUGCUAAACCGUAAGGUGAUGUAUAGGGGCUGACGCCUGCCCGGUGCUGGAAGGUUAAGAGGAGUGGUUAGCUUCUGCGAAGCUACGAAUCGAAGCCCCAGUAAACGGCGGCCGUAACUAUAACGGUCCUAAGGUAGCGAAAUUCCUUGUCGGGUAAGUUCCGACCCGCACGAAAGGCGUAACGAUUUGGGCACUGUCUCAACGAGAGACUCGGUGAAAUCAUAGUACCUGUGAAGAUGCAGGUUACCCGCGACAGGACGGAAAGACCCCGUGGAGCUUUACUGUAGCCUGAUAUUGAAAUUCGGCACAGCUUGUACAGGAUAGGUAGGAGCCUUUGAAACGUGAGCGCUAGCUUACGUGGAGGCGCUGGUGGGAUACUACCCUAGCUGUGUUGGCUUUCUAACCCGCACCACUUAUCGUGGUGGGAGACAGUGUCAGGCGGGCAGUUUGACUGGGGCGGUCGCCUCCUAAAAGGUAACGGAGGCGCUCAAAGGUUCCCUCAGAAUGGUUGGAAAUCAUUCAUAGAGUGUAAAGGCAUAAGGGAGCUUGACUGCGAGACCUACAAGUCGAGCAGGGUCGAAAGACGGACUUA
rnacentral:rRNA from 1 species